rnacentral:rRNA from 1 species
GACGUAGGGCGCGAGCGUUGUCCGGAUUUAUUUGGCGUAAAGAGCUCGUAGGCUGCUUGUUGCGUCGGCUGUGAAAACCCAUGGCUCAACCGUGGGCUUGCAGCCGAUACGGGCAGGCUAGAGUUCGGUAGGGGAGACUGGAAUUCCUGGUGUAGCGGUGAAAUGCGCAGAUAUCAGGAGGAACACCGGUGGCGAAGGCGGGUCUCUGGGCCGAUACUGACGCUGAGGAGCGAAAGCGUGGGGAGCGAACAGG